AUUGAACGCUGGCGGCAGGCUUAACACAUGCAAGUCGAACGAGUGGCGGACGGGUGAGUAAUGUCUGGGAAACUGCCUGAUGGAGGGGGAUAACUACUGGAAACGGUAGCUAAUACCGCAUCCCAUCAGAUGUGCCCAGAUGGGAUUGGCGAGUGGGGGGGGUAACUGCUCACCAAGGCGACAAUCCCUAGCUGGUCUGAGAGGAUGACAGGCGACACUGGAACUGGGACACGGUCCGGACUCCUACGGGAGGCUGCAGUGGGAAACAUUGCACAAUGGGCGAAAGCCUGAUGCAGCCAUGCGGCGUGUAUGGAGAAGGCCUUCGGGUUGUAAAGUACGUUCAGCGGGGAGGCGUUACCCGCAGAAGAAGCACCGGCUAACUCCGUGCCAGCCGCCGCGGUAAUUC
rnacentral:rRNA from 1 species